GUGGGAAGGCCCAGACAGCCAGGAUGUUGGCUUAGAAGCAGCCAUCAUUUAAAGAAAGCGUAAUAGCUCACUGGUCGAGUCGGCCUGCGCGGAAGAUGUAACGGGGCUAAACCAUGCACCGAAGCUGCGGCAGCAACGCUGAUGCGUUGUUGGGUAGGGGAGCGUUCUGUAAGCCUGUGAAGGUGGCCUGUGAGGGUUGCUGGAGGUAUCAGAAGUGCGAAUGCUGACAUAAGUAACGAUAAAGCGGGUGAAAAGCCCGCUCGCCGGAAGACCAAGGGUUCCUGUCCAACGUUAAUCGGGGCAGGGUGAGUCGACCCCUAAGGCGAGGCCGAAAGGCGUAGUCGAUGGGAAACGGGUUAAUAUUCCCGUACUUGGUGUUACUGCGAAGGGGGGACGGAGAAGGCUAUGUUGGCCGGGCGACGGUUGUCCCGGUUUAAGCGUGUAGGUGUGUGUUCCAGGUAAAUCCGGUUCACUUUAACACUGAGGCGUGAUGACGAGGCACUACGGUGCUGAAGCAACAAAUGCCCUGCUUCCAGGAAAAGCCUCUAAGCAUCAGGUAACAUCAAAUCGUACCCCAAACCGACACAGGUGGUCAGGUAGAGAAUACCAAGGCG
rnacentral:rRNA from 1 species